rnacentral:rRNA from 1 species
AUUGAACGCUGGCGGCAGGCCUAACACAUGCAAGUCGAACGACUGGCGGACGGGUGAUUAAUAUCUGGGCAACUGCCUGAUGGAGGGGGAUAACUGCUGACAACGGUAGCUACUCCCGCAUACGAUCAGAUGUGCCCAGAUGGUGUUAGUUUGUUGGUGGGGUAACGGCUCACCAAGUCGACGAUCACUAGCUGGUCUGAGAGGAUGACGCGCAACACGGGAACUGAGACAUGGUCCAACCCCGUAAGGGAGGCAGCAGUGGGGAAUAUUGGACAAUGGGCGCAAGCCUGAUGUACCCAUGGCGGGAGUAUGAAGAAGGCCUUCGGGUUGUAAAGUACUUCAAUCGGGGAGGCGGUACCCGCAGAAGAAGCACCGGCUAACUCCGUGCCAGCAGCCGCGGUAAUUC